rnacentral:rRNA from 1 species
UGGGGAAUAUUGGGCAAUGGGGGAAACCCUGACCCAGCGACGCCGCGUGAGGGAAGACGGUCUUCGGGUUGUAAACCUCUUUUGUACGGGAAGAAGGACGUGACGGUACUGUACGAAUAAGUCCCGGCUAACUACGUGCC